AAGGCUUUAGCUUAAUUAAAGUGUCUGUUUUGCACACAGGAGAUGUGGGUUAGCGUCCCUUAAGUCUUA
rnacentral:tRNA from 1 species